CGGCUGGCGGCAGCAGGCGGAAUCUGCGAAGAAAACGACGGUAGGCCUCUCCGCGUGAAUUCAGUGCCGGAGCUUCCGAGCAGCCAGCUUGCCGUGGUCUGCUGGUAUACAUCUACGCCAGGUCCAUCCUUCCUCCACCGGUAUGCCUGGUUAUAUUUUUCUCUUCCUUCACCGGUGUGGAUCCAGUGGCGGGGCUUCUCAGGUGUUUCGAUCUCUCUCAAAGUCUUGUCAAAGGCGCUAGCAUCCUGCACGCGAGCUAUGAGCAGUAGCUAUCAAGCAAUAGCAGGCAGCUGCUGCAAUCUGGGUAUCUCUCAGCGCCUCUUGCAAGGCAGCUUCAAACUACUCUGCUCUCCUCUAGAAACUUAAUUCUGUCAUGUUUCCUACUUACCCCUACUGUCCCACCUUUUCGUUACUUUUGAUCCUUGCCUCUUAAUUUGGGGAAAUUCUAAUUAGGUCUUAGAUUCUGCACUAAAAAAAUGUUCUUUACAGAUUUCUAUGUUCCUAUGUGUAGUACUGUCAAUUUUCAAAGGGAUACCAUCGAGUCAUUUUACAGAGUAUAUAGAGUUGAAUGUGAAACUAAUUAACGUGUAGAUUUUGUGUCUUUCUGAUGUAGAUUUAUUAAGAUAUGAUAGUUAGGAUCUGUACUAACGAAUUAUUUGUUUUCUCCUAUGAUAUUGGUCCUAAAAAAUCCGAAUUAUAUUAGUCACGGAAGCUGCAGAUAAUGACUGCACAUGGUGUUCCAUGCAUGCUUUUUGAGUCGCCGUAUAGUCGCUGUAUAGUCGCAAGUCGGCGCGGUGUGGCUGGGUCGCUCAGGCGACUUGACUCACGGAGCGAGUGGCGGUGGCUGAUAGUCGCCGGUCGCCUGUCAGACUCUUUUGGGGGAAUAUAAUUUAUUGUUGAGUACAUAAUGCUCUUACUGCAACCAAACGCUGGCACAUAGUGUGCCUUGGAUUUAUUGUUAUGUUGAUACCAAAUAAACUUAUGACUAGCUAUGCAGUCUUUUGUGUAAAAGUUAAAGAACUGGUUGGCUCACUUUGUUGCAUGUCACCAAUGUGUAAUUUCUGAUCCAUCAUGAAAUAGAUUGUUAUUUUUUUCUUAUUGUAGCGUGGCUCUAUAAUCCAAUUAUCAACAAGUCAAGUUAUUUUCAUCCUAAUUUAAUUUAAUUUCAGUUCAGCAGAGUGGCAACCCAAUAUAAUUUUGCCGGUCACUGCUACCAGCUCGCAACCCUGCAACCAUGAUUUUUAGAAUCUUGCAUUGAUAAUUUUCAUCAUUAGUCGAAUGUUAAAUGCCAUCGUUUCCCAUUUGCAGAAACCUUGGCUCCAUUCUUGUGAGCAUCGUGGUCUAGUGUUGAUUCAUGUUGCUGCAACCUUAGCAUAUUCACUUGUUUGUUUACCCAAAUCCAAGCUCUGCCAUCAGAUUUCAGCCGCCAAGCCAAGGUAGAUUCUGAUAUCCAAUCAAGCAUACUAUGGUCUAUGUGGUUUUCUUAGAAUUACUACCUUUAUUUUUGGUGCAAUUUAGAUCUCUUCUACCUUUUUUUCUUCAAGAACAUGUGUUUGGGAGGUACAGAUUUGUCAUGUCCACAACACUUAUAAACAUUUUGGCUGAUUAGUUGCAGGUUGAUAUGAUAAUGAUCUCUUUGAUGGCAAUACUGUCGCGUAAUAAGCGCUGGCAACACUUAUAUUUCUGCUUUUUUAUUAGCCCCUAGUCAAUUUCUAGUCCAAUUCAUGAGUGCAAGCUUGCUGGUGAUACCUUUUGUUAUUCAGAAAUAUACUUUUAUCAGAUUGGCAGUUGCUUCUCGUUUUGUAUGCUAUCCGUGUGACAUAACUUUGUUAUUUGUAAGUGAUUAUCACCUUUUCAGCUUCCUAGCUGUAAUAUUUUCGUGUGCUUGAAAAUAGAUUAGUGUGCAUGUUAGUUUCUUUAGGUCCACCUUUGGUCAUGUUUUUACUUAUUAGCCUAUCAGAUUUUGCAUUUACGGACCGAGACAGCUUCAGUAUCACAAAUGUAUUUUCGAUCUGGCAAAAUGACCGUGGAGGAUAUUCGAGUAGUUGGCCUUUGAGCAUAGAUGACAUUGUGGGUUUAUUAAUCAAUUAUUUUUCAUCCUCCAUUCUCAAAUAUGAUGGAAUUCUAAAUGGUUGCAGUAUAUUGGCACAGCUGAUUCUUUAGCUCAAUUUUGUUCGUGUAGAGAUCCAGGACAGACGGCGAUGUUCAAAUACUUAAGUGGAACUGGGGAUGUGUCUUACUCCUGGGUAGACAAUGAACUCUAGAGCUACAUCACUUGUUGUGGUCUUCAGCGUCGGGCUGCCUAGUACGAUGGAAAUACAACAUCAACGUGUUGUCUAGUGGAGCUCAUCUAGCUAAAUAAUUUGCAUCCGACUAAUGUAAUUUUUAUUACAUGUUCACAUAUUAAUUUCUUAAUUUUUGAUAUGCACUCGAUGCCUGAAAUAUGUAAACACAUGUGUGCAUUGACACAUAUAUAUGUUUAUUCAAAUGGAGUUCUUACUCUAGCCGUACUUGUAAAACUUGCAUUGUGUAAUCAGGCCAUCCUUGUUAUUCUUACGGGCAUUAAACUUUUACAUCACCUCUGAAA